AAAGUCGUAACAAGGUUUCCGUAGGUGAACCUGCGGAAGGAUCAUUAAUGAAAUGCAAGGAUGCUCUUUUUAGAGGUCCGACCCAAUUCAUUUCCUUACCCUGUGCACAAUACUGUUUUUUACACCCAUUUUUAAACACUAUAGUCUAAGAAUGUCAUAGUCUCUUAACUGAGCAUAAACAUAAUAAAACUUUCGGCAACGGAUCUCUUGGCUCCC
rnacentral:misc_RNA from 1 species